rnacentral:rRNA from 1 species
UACGGAGGAUCCAAGCGUUAUCCGGAUUUAUUGGGUUUAAAGGGUGCGUAGGCGGUUUAUUAAGUCAGUGGUGAAAGCCCGGAGCUCAACUUCGGAACUGCCAUUGAUACUGAUAGACUUGAGUACAGAUGAAGUGGGCGGAAUGUGACAAGUAGCGGUGAAAUGCUUAGAUAUGUCACAGAACACCGAUUGCGAAGGCAGCUUACUACACGAUCAUUGACGCUGAGGCACGAAAGCGUGGGGAGCAAACAGG